rnacentral:tRNA from 1 species
UGGGGUGUAGCCAAGUGGUAAGGCAUUGGACUUUGACUUCAACAUGCAAAGGUUCGAAUCCUUUCUCCCCAG